UGGGGAAUAUUGCGCAAUGGGGGAAACCCUGACGCAGCGACGCCGCGUGCGGGAUGAAGGCCUUCGGGUUGUAAACCGCUUUUGAUUGGGAGCAAGCUUUCGGGUGAGUGUACCUUUCGAAUAAGCGCCGGCUAACUACGUGCCAGCAGCCGCGGUAAUACGGGGGAUGCGAGCGUUAUCCGGAAUUAUUGGGUUUAAAGGGUGCGCAGGUGGCUAAUCAGGUCAGUGGUGAAAAGCUAUGGCUCAACCAUGGUCUUGCCAUUGAAACCGUAUAGCUAGAGAGGAGACGAGGUAGGCGGAAUGUGUGGUGUAGCGGUGAAAUGCAUAGAUAUCACACAGAACUCCGAUUGCGAAGGCAGCUUACCAGGCUUUAUCUGACACUUAGGCACGACAGCGUGGGGAUCAAACAGG
rnacentral:rRNA from 1 species